UACAUAUAUGUAAUUCCUAAUGCUUACAGACGCUGAAAUUUGUACUAUGGUUCUUAAGAGAUUUUGUGGAGGUAAACAGCAUUACAUGAAGUACAUCGAAUUGAAGGGAUACUAAAUAAAAUGUAUGAACUCCAACUGUUUUUAAGACAGAUUCCUACCAAUAGUUCAUCAACAUUGUGUUGAAUUCCACUGGAUGUCUCUAUAAAUUUUGCAUCGUGUGAAGCAGCUAACGCUUUUCCUUCUAAAGACGAAACGAGAGAAAAUCAGGAUUUAUUGCAUAAUAUAUUCGGAAAUCAGCGCAGAUUACUCCAUUAAGAGACCCUGAUUUCUUCUGAUGCUAGUUACCUAAGUUUUAUGGAGAGCAUGUAUGUAGCGAGCGUGUUUUUCUUUGCGCCAGGCAACAUAACAAGCAAGGAAGGCUAAGUUUAGGUUUAACAGAAAAUGUUAUACUCUUGCAACUUGCAGGGAUCAAAUAAUAACAUUUGGCAUAAUAAUAAAGUUUGGCAUAACUAUGUACAUAUGUAUAUUAAAAACUAUAUUAAAACAUGAAAUCGUGAAUACAUUACAUUUAACUAGUCUUUUCUUCGCAUUAGCGAAAAUUAUUUAUGUAUGUAUUAAAAUCAUUCUCAAAUGAGAUAAAUGUUAUGUAAACUCAACCGAAGAUGCUAAAUUUAAUAUCUUGAGUUAAUGUGGAAAACGUCUACCAGAAGGCCAAAAAUAUUUAGGGAAAUGAGGUUUGGACGAAGGUCUAGGUCAACUCCAUUCAUAUUCACCGCUAAACCACAUAAUUUUUAUAACAGCUUCAAUAUUCAAAUAACGAAAAUCAUUAAAUAUGAUAUGGGCCAAUUCGUAGACCAAUUUCACAUACUUUAUUCAAUAUUAUACGUUCAGUUAAUUUCGGUAAUAUAUCAUAUAUGUAUAUUGAUUUAUAUAUACAUAUAUAGUAUAAAGCCAAACGGACGUUUGAAAAUCUUUGUUAGGU
rnacentral:lncRNA from 1 species